rnacentral:misc_RNA from 1 species
GAUGAAGAACGUAGCGAAAUGCGAUAAGUAAUGCGAAUUGCAGAAUUUCCGUGAGUCAUCGAAUCUUUGAACGCACAUUGCGCCCACUGGUAUUCCGGUGGGCAUGCCUGUUCGAGCGUCAUUAUCCUCCCUCAAACCCCGGGUUUGGUGUUGGACCCAAGUUGUGUGAACAACUGGUCUUAAAGACAAUGACGGCGUCCGUGGGACCCUCGGUGCAACGAGCUUUUAGGAGCACGCAUCGAGUUGCAAGGACCUUCCGGGCCGGUCUCCUUUACUAUUUUACAAGGUUGACCUCGGAUCAGGUAGGAAUACCCGCUGAACUUAAGCAUAUCAAUAACGGAGGA